CCAACAGGGAUUGCCCCAGUAACGGCGAGUGAAGCGGCAACAGCUCAAAUUUGAAAUCUGGCCCUCCGGCCCGAGUUGUACUUUGCAGAGGAUGCUUCUGGCGCGGCGCCUUCCAAGUCCCCUGGAACGGGGCGCCGGAGAGGGUGAGAGCCCCGUACGGUCGGCCGCCAAGCCUGUGCGAAGCUCCUUCGACGAGUCGAGUAGUUUGGGAAUGCUGCUCUAAGCGGGAGGUAGACCCCUUCUAAAGCUAAAUAUUGGCCAGAGACCGAUAGCGCACAAGUAGAGUGAUCGAAAGAUGAAAAGCACUUUGAAAAGAGGGUUAAACAGCACGUGAAAUUGUUGAAAGGGAAGCGCUCGUGCCCAGACGUGCGCCGGGGCGAUCAUCUGGCGUUCUCGCCGGUGCACUCGCCCCGGCGCAGGCCAGCGUCGGCUCGGGUGGGGGGACAAAGGCGUCCGGCAUGUGGCCCCUCCGGGGGUGUUAUAGCCGGGCGCGUCAUGCUCCCGCCCGGGCCGAGGUCUGCGCUCUGCAAGGACGCUGGCGUAAUGGGCACUGGCGGCCCGUCUUGAAACACGGACCAAGGAGUCGAGGUCUUGCGCGAGUGUCUGGGUGCCAAACCCGCACGCGCAAUGAAAGUGAACGCAGGUGGGAGCUUCGGCGCACCACCGACCGAUCCUGAUGUUCUCGGAUGGAUUUGAGUAGGAGCGUGGGGCCUCGGACCCGAAAGAUGGUGAACUAUGCUUGGAUAGGGUGAAGCCAGAGGAAACUCUGGUGGAGGCUCGCAGCGGUUCUGACGUGCAAAUCGAUCGUCAAAUCUGAGCAUGGGGGCGAAAGACUAAUCGAACCAU
rnacentral:rRNA from 1 species